ensembl:lincRNA
AUGGCCGGCGGCCUCCUCAGCACCUGCCCGAGAGGAGCCUGGAGCGCAGCUCGGGCCGGACAGCGGGAGCCUCCUCGUCCCUUCUGCGCACGCGCCGGGUCCUGGGCAUGCGCCGUGGGCCCCGGCAGCGGGAACGCCCCCUCGUCCUCGGCAGCAGUUUCCCAGAGUCCCCGGCGGGCGCCUGCUCCCCGGGCCGCCGCGCCCACGCGGACGGCGAGUCCCUGCGGCCACGGCGGGCGGCGACGGACACACGCCCAGGACGUGCCGAGGGCGCGCUGCUCCCCGGAACCGGCCCCAGGUUUUAGAAGUCAUGAGCUAAGAAGCAAACAAGCACACCCGGAGCGUUCGCAUGCGCUCUCCGCCACCGCCGCUUUGCCUUUGUUGCAAAUGAUGGAAGAGCGUUGUCCUGACGUUACUGUCUGCAGUCCACAGCUUGCAUUUGGUGUAUUUUUCCCACAAACAAUCCUCUUACGAACUCCGUGUAGUGGAGUGGUGUUGUGUAGUUGUUAGAGGUCACGAGAGGACUUUGCUUGUCUCGCUGACCACAGUCCAUCCCGCACCUCAGGGUCCGCCGUGCUGCACGGCCCCUGCCUUGUACGUCCAUCCGGCGGGCACACUCCUCAGGUUCAUCGCAGAGUUGUGGUGUCAUCAGCCCAGUCCAUUUCAGAACGUUCUGGUUACUCCGAAAGGAAAAACGCCAUCCUCAUUUACACGCCCCCAUUAUUGGCCCUUAGCGUUGGAUUCUACCUUCUUUGCAAUUGCUGUAAAAAUAUUACACUAUUACUGUUAACUAGAGUCCAUAGGGUACAUUAGUUGUAUUUUUCCCAUGUAUCUCCAUAUUCUUUUGUUUAACAAAUCAGUUUUAUUGAUACAUAUUAAUAAAGCAUACAAUUCAUCCAAAAUGUACAAUCAGUGGUAUUUGGCAUAAUCACAUAGCUGUGCAUUCAUCACUUCAGUCCCUAUUAGAGCAUUUUCAUUAUUUCAAUAAUAACAAUAAACAAGAAUUCUUCCCUACUUAAUCUAUUUCCUCCAUAUUCUUAUUACCUUGUAAUAGGGGAACAUUCUUGUAUUUGUACUAUUAACCACAGUCAUCAUCAACCACCAAAAUCACUGUGUGUGCAGUCCCUGGAUUGUCCUCUGGCCUUCUUUCAAGUGACAUUAACCUCCCUAGGCUUUCACUUUCAGCCAGAAUCACAUUUAUAAAUCAGUGUGGAUAAUACUAUAAUGUGAUACCACCGACGCUAACCUUUUCCCCACGUUUACAAUUCCCCUUCCUAAACAUUCCACAUACGUUCAGCAUCAGCUCCCCUUCUCAGCCCUCAUCCUAUCUUCUAGUAACCCACACUCUACAGUUUAACCCCAUGAGUUUACUCAUCAUAUUUAGUUCAUAUUAGUGAAACUAUGCAGUAUUUGUCUUUUUGUGUCCAGCUUAUUUCACUCAGCAUAAUGUCCUCGAGGUACAUCCAGGUUGUCAUAUGCCCCAAGUUCAUUUCUUCUUACAGCUGAAUAGUAUUCUAUCGUAUGAAUAUACCAUACCUUCUUUAUCCAUUUGUCGGUUGCUAAUAAUUAGGUUGUUUCCAUCUCUUAUUUUUUUUAAGAUUUAUUUUUUAUUUUAUUGCCUACCCGCCCCCAGUCUUUUGUGCUGUCUGCUCUCACACGCUCUUUGUGUCUGCUCAUCUUCUCUUUAGGAGACACUGGGAGCCAAACCUGGGACUUCCCAUGUGGGAGAGAGGCUCUCAGUUGCUUGAGCCACUUCCACUCCCUGCUUUGUUGUGUCUGUUACUGUGUUUCUUCUUUGUGUCUCCUUGUUGUGCCAUCUUGUUGCAUCAGCUGACCACGCCAGCCAAUCAAGUUAGCUUGCUGUCUUGCUCGCCUUCUCUAGGAGUUACUGGGAACUGAACCCAGGACCUUCAAGUGGUAAGUAGGUGCCCAAAUGCUUGAGCCAUAUCUGCUUCUGUUUCCAUCUUUUGACAGUUGUGAAUAAUGCUGCUCUGUACAUCAGUGUGCAAACGUCUGUGUCCUUGCUUUCAGUUCUUCUGGAUAUAUUCCUAGUAGAGGGAUUGCUGAGUUAUAUGGCAAUUCUAUAUUUAGCUUCCUGAAGAACCGCCAAAGUGUCUUCCACUGAGGCUGCACCAUUUUACGUUCCCACCAACAGUGAAGGAGUGUUCCUAUUUCUCCACAUCCUCUCCAGCACCAGUAGUUUUCUACCUUUUUCAUUUUCCUUUUUUCAUCUUUGUUUUUCUUCCUUUCUACCUUUUUAAUAAUGGCUAUUCUGUAAGGUAUGAAAUGAGAUCUCCUUGUAGCUUUUGAUCUGUAUUUCCCAAGUAACUAGUGGUAUUGAGCAUUUUUUCAUGUGUUUUUUUUUGCCAUUUGUAUUCCUUCUUUGGACAAAUGUCUAUUUAGGUAUUUUGCCCAUUUUUAACCUGGAUUACUUGACUUUUUAUCAUGGAGUUGUAUGAUCUCUUUAUAUAACAUGGAGAUCAAACCCUUAUCAGAUAUAUAGUUUCUGAAAAUAUUCUCCCAAAGAGUAGGCUGCCUUUCACUUCUUAACAAAGUCAUUUGAAGCGCAAAAGUUUUUUAUUUUGAGGAGGUCCCACUUACCUAUUUUUUCUUUCAUUGCUCAUUCUUUGGGUAUAAAGUUUAAGAAACCAUCACCUACGGCAGUAUCUUGAGGGUGUUUCCCUUCAUUUUCUCCUUGGAGUUUUAUAGUUGUGACUUUCACAUUUAGGUCCUUGGUCCAUUUUUAGUUAAUUUUUGUAUAAGUUGUAUGACAGUGGGUCUCUUUCUUUAAGUAUGGAAAACUAGUUUUCCCAGCACCAUUUGUUUAACAGACUGUUCUGACCUAGCUAGGUAGAUUUGAUAACAUGUCAAAAAUCACUUGACCAUAGAUGUGAGGGUCUAUUUCUAAAUUCUUGAUUCAGGAAGCAGAUUUGGAUCAAUGGAUAGAGCAUCCGCCUACACAUGGGAGGUGCAGGGUUCAAACCCAGGGCCUCCUGACCCAUGUGGUGAGCUGGCCCAUGUGCAGUGCUGAUGCAUGCAAUGAGUGCUCUGCCAUGUAGGGGUGUCCCUGCGUAGGGGAGCCCCACGUGCAAGGAGUGUGCCCCGUAAGGAGAGCUGCCCCACAUGAAGAAAGUGCAGCCUGCCCAGGAGCGGUGCUACCACAUGGAGAGCUGACACAGCAAGAUGACGCAACAAAAAGAAACAGAUUCCCAGUGCCGCUGACAAGAAUGCAAGUGGACACAGAACACACAGUGAAUGGACACAGAGAGCAGACAAUGGGGGAGGGGGGAGAGAAAUAAAAAAUAAAUCUUUAAAAAAAAAUUCUUGAUUCAGUUCCACAGAUCAGUCUGCUUAUCUUUCUCCCAAUACUGUGUUUUUACCACUGUAGCUAAGUAAACUGGUUCAAGUCAGGAAGUGAGAGUCUUCCAACUUCAUUCUUCUUUUUAAAGACUUUUUUUUCUUCUUUUUUUGCUAUUUGAGGCCCUUACUCUUCCAAAUAAAUUCGAUAAUUAGCUUUUCCAUUUCUGCAAAAACAGCUGUUGGAAUUUUUAUUGGGAUUACAUUGUUAUCUGUAAUCACUUUGGGUAGAAUUGACAUUUUAAUGAUAUUUACUCUUUCCAUCCAUGAACACGAAAAGUCCUUCCAUUUAUUU